UUUGUCGCAUAUUUUUACUAA
ensembl:piRNA 21ur-9750 ncRNA